rnacentral:rRNA from 1 species
CACAGAGGUCUCAAGCGUUGUUCGGAUUCAUUGGGCGUAAAGGGUGCGUAGGCGGCGCGGUAAGUCGGAUGUGAAAUCUCGGAGCUUAACUUCGAAACUGCAUUCGAUACUGCCGUUGCUUGAGGACUGGAGAGGAGACUGGAAUUCAUGGUGUAGCAGUGAAAUGCGUAGAGAUCAUGAGGAAGACCAGUGGCGAAGGCGGGUCUCUGGACAGUUCCUGACACUGAGACACGAAGGCCAGGGGAGCAAACGGG